UUUGGAAAAAAAAAAUGGAAACGGAGGAGGAAAAGGAAAUAUAUGUGUAUAUAUUAAGUUAAGUUAGGGUUUUGAAAGUUAUUAUUUAUAUAAGUUGUUUUUUUAAAAAAAGCAAAAGAAAAAGGAAAAUUAAUUCCUUCUUUCUUGUGUGCAGAACCCCCACCCCCCAGAUCUCUCUCUCCCACCGAAAGUCUGAGCCUCGCCACCGCCCGAGUUCCAGCGCUGCCGUCUCAGCCUCGCUAGUGACCGGUCACGCAACGCCAUUACCGUCUAGAUUUGCUUGUCGCACCAGCCGCCGUCGCACGCUCAAUUGUCGUGGGUCGCUGCCGCUUAUACUCCAGAUCUGCUCGUGCACCCCAGGACAGUCGAGCUCUACCGUCCAACCGCCACACGUCCAGCUAGGUGUUUAUCAUCUACCGGCAGCGGCGUAGCAGACGACGUUUCUAAAGGGUGAAGGUUGAGAAUAACAUUACGGCGGCGUAACAUAAGUCUGCGUGAUUCUCACAUUUGAGAAUAGCACCAAGCUGCUUCUAAAAAGUGAAGGUUGUUUAAAUAACACUUACUCUGUGUGAUUGUUUAAAUUUUCUGUAAGACUUAAAGGGUGAAGGAACCCAACCGGUUUGAUUUUUUAUAACUAUCAGACCGACCGAACCGAUCAGGUCAGUAUCAGUUAUCGGUUUAAGUAGACCGACCAAAUGGAGUUUCCAAUUUACGAAUGAGCUUCGAGUCUCAGCAUCAUUCUCUCUCUUCUAGGUUCUCACUGUCUCGCAUUUGGCGUCCCACUCAGCCGUCGUCGACUACUCAGCCACCGUCGCCAUCGACUCCUUGAACUACAGUUUUUGUUGGGUUUGCUCGUUCUUAAAUUACAAUGGUUAUGUUUGCUGUCUAAAAUUUGGAAUCAACACCCUCCAGGAAGAUUGGCAAUGAGAUCUCAAUCCAUGCGAAAAGGAUACCUGGACAAUAACUAUCUAAUUAUUUUGCUAAAGGAAGACGGCUGCACAAGGAUUCAUCCUAUUCUAAUAGGAUUCUCUAUAAGUAGGCUUUGAAGGGAAGAUAAGAUCUUGGAAUGACAACAAAUGUCUAUUAUCCAGUAGGUCAAUAGUAGUCUAAUUCAAAAUACCUGUCAAAAGUAAAUAUCUCAUUAGUAAUUGACAUCAGUAAUUGACAUGUAUUCCGACAGUAUCGAAAAAGGGGGAAAACAAAAGUUUAGAAUACCCCAUUUCAACUUUGUUGGUUCUUCAACAACCCAAUACCAUCGACCAAAAGCAUGGAGAUAAUUUGAUACAAAAUAGAACAAUAUGCAAACAGAACACAAUUUGUCAACAACUUGGAUUAUAAUUCAUCAACAACAUAAUUGGACAGCCAGUAUUCUCAAAGGCUUAGGUCAAGUACAAACAUAGACUCAAAAAAAAAAACACACACCUCAAUAUUAUUACAUCAACACAAAACCUAUUAGCAAAAAGUGAAAUCCAUCUCCAAAGCUGAGCUCAGUCAAAAGUUCUCAUAAUCACAAGACUCCCCACAAAAGUUUCGCCGUGUAACAUCUACCUAAUGCCAAAAGGGACAAGCUCCACUUUUACAGCAUAACCUCUACAAAUGGGCAAGCACAUAAUGCAGAAAGAGAAA